rnacentral:tRNA from 1 species
AAAUAAGUAGUAUAAAUAUUACAUUUAAUUUCGGCUUAAAAAAUGAAAAAUUUUCCUUAUUUU